GACGAACGCUGGCGGCGUGCUUCACACAUGCAAGUCGAAAGCGUGGCGAAAGGGGGAGUAAUACGUGAGUAUCCUGCCCUCUUUUUGGGAUAAGCCUUGGAAACGGGGUCUAAUACCGGAUAACGGGGGUUGGGCUCGUGGCCUAUCAGCUUGUUGGUGGGGUGAUGCUCUCCCAAGGCGGUGACGGGGAGCCGGCCUGAGAGGGUGACCGGCCACAUUGGGACUGCGAUACGGCUCAGACUCCUACGGGAGGCAGCAGUGGGGGAUAUUGCACAAUGGGCGAAAGCCUGAUGCAGCGACGCCGCGUGGGGGAUGUAGGCUUUCGUGUUGUAAACCUCUUUCGCUAUCGAACGUGGAGGUGGAGAAGAAUCGCCGGCUAACUACGUACCAGCAGCCGCGGUAAUAC
rnacentral:rRNA from 1 species